rnacentral:rRNA from 1 species
AUUGAACGCUGGCGGAAUGCUUUACACAUGCAAGUCGAACGGCAGCACGGGGGCAGCCCUGGUGGCGAGUGGCGAACGGGUGAGUAAUACAUCGGAACGUGCCCGGUCGUGGGGGAUAACGUAGCGAAAGUUACGCUAAUACCGCAUACGAUCUGAGGAUGAAAGCGGGGGACCUUCGGGCCUCGCGCGAUCGGAGCGGCCGAUGUCAGAUUAGGUAGUUGGUGGGGUAAAGGCCUACCAAGCCGACGAUCUGUAGCUGGUCUGAGAGGACGACCAGCCACACUGGGACUGAGACACGGCCCAGACUCCUACGGGAGGCAGCAGUGGGGAAUUUUGGACAAUGGGCGCAAGCCUGAUCCAGCCAUUCCGCGUGCAGGACGAAGGCCUUCGGGUUGUAAACUGCUUUUGUACGGAACGAAAAGACUCUGGCUAAUACCUGGGGCUCAUGACGGUACCGUAAGAAUAAGCACCGGCUAACUACGUG